rnacentral:rRNA from 1 species
AACGAACGCUGGCGGCAGGCUCAACACAUGCAAGUCGAGCGCCCCGCAAGGGGAGCGGCAGACGGGUGAGUAACGCGUGGGAACGUGCCCUUUGGUUCGGAACAACUCCGGGAAACUGGAGCUAAUACCGGAUAAGCCCUUCGGGGGAAAGAUUUAUCGCCAAAGGAUCGGCCCGCGUCUGAUUAGCUAGUUGGUGAGGUAAUGGCUCACCAAGGCGACGAUCAGUAGCUGGUCUGAGAGGAUGAUCAGCCACACUGGGACUGAGACACGGCCCAGACUCCUACGGGAGGCAGCAGUGGGGAAUAUUGGACAAUGGGCGCAAGCCUGAUCCAGCCAUGCCGCGUGAGUGAUGAAGGCCUUGGGGUUGUAAAGCUCUUUUGUCCGGGAAGAUAAUGACUGUACCGGAAGAAUAAGCCCCGGCUAACUUCGUGCCAGCAGCCGCCGUAAAAC